rnacentral:rRNA from 1 species
GACGAACGCUGGCGGCGUGCUUAACACAUGCCAGUCGAACGGAAAGGCCCUGCUUUUGUGGGGUGCUCGAGUGGCGAACGGGUGAGUAACACGUGAGUAACCUGCCCUUGACUUUGGGAUAACUUCAGGAAACUGGGGCUAAUACCGGAUAGGAGCUCCUGCUGCAUGGUGGGGGUUGGAAAGUUUCGGCGGUUGGGGAUGGACUGGCGGCUUAUCAGCUUGUUGGUGGGGUAGUGGCUUACCAAGGCUUUGACGGGUAGCCGGCCUGAGAGGGUGACCGGCCACAUUGGGACUGAGAUACGGCCCAGACUCCUACGGGAGGCAGCAGUGGGGAAUAUUGCACAAUGGGCGGAAGCCUGAUGCAGCAACGCCGCGUGCGGGAUGACGGCCUUCGGGCUGUAAACCGCUUUCGCCUGUGACGAAGCGUGAGUGACGGUAAUGGGUAAAGAAGCACCGGCUAACUACGU